GGGUUCGAUUAUGGCUCAGAUUGAACGCUGGCGGCAUGCCUUACACAUGCAAGUCGAACGGCAGCACGGGAGCAAUCCUGGUGGCGAGUGGCGAACGGGUGAGUAAUGUAUCGGAACGUGCCCAGUCGUGGGGGAUAACGCAGCGAAAGCUGUGCUAAUACCGCAUACGAUCUAUGGAUGAAAGCGGGGGAUCGCAAGACCUCGCGCGAAUGGAGCGGCCGAUAUCAGAUUAGCUAGUUGGUGGGGUAAAGGCUCACCAAGGCGACGAUCUGUAGCUGGUCUGAGAGGACGACCAGCCACACUGGAACUGAGACACGGUCCAGACUCCUACGGGAGGCAGCAGUGGGGAAUUUUGGACAAUGGGCGCAAGCCUGAUCCAGCAAUGCCGCGUGCAGGAUGAAGGCCUUCGGGUUGUAAACUGCUUUUGUACGGAGCGAAAAGGCUUUCUCUAAUACAGGGGGCUCAUGACGGUACCGUAAGAAUAAGCACCGGCUAACUACGUGCCAGCAGCCGCGGUAAUACGUAGGGUGCGAGCGUUAAUCGGAAUUACUGGGCGUAAAGCGUGCGCAGGCGGUUAUGUAAGACAGAUGUGAAAUCCCC
rnacentral:rRNA from 1 species